UAGGGAAUCUUCGGCAAUGGGGGGAACCCUGACCGAGCAACGCCGCGUGAGUGAAGAAGGUUUUCGGAUCGUAAAGCUCUGUUGUUAAGGAAGAACGAGUGUGAGAAUGGAAAGUUCAUACUGUGACGGUACUUAACCAGAAAGGGACGGCUAACUACGUGCCAGCAGCCGCGGUAAUACGUAGGUCCCGAGCGUUGUCCGGAGUUAUUGGGCGUAAAGCGAGCGCAGGCGGUUAGAUAAGUCUGAAGUUAAAGGCAGUGGCUCAACCAUUGUAGGCUUUGGAAACUGUUUAACUUGAGUGCAGAAGGGGAGAGUGGAAUUCCAUGUGUAGCGGUGAAAUGCGUAGAUAUAUGGAGGAACACCGGUGGCGAAAGCGGCUCUCUGGUCUGUAACUGACGCUGAGGCUCGAAAGCGUGGGGAGCGAACAGG
rnacentral:rRNA from 1 species